rnacentral:tRNA from 1 species
AAGAAGGGCAGGACUGCAACGAAUACUGCUAAUUUUCGUGACCAUGGUUUGACUCCGCGGCCUACUUG